CUGUUUGGGAGGUAUGGUUAUAUUGUGUAUCUGGAAUGAAUUUUAGGUCUCUACGUCCAUCCCAUGGGGAAUGGGAGCAGUAACAAAGGUGUUGCGUUUAUAUUUUUGUUGAGUGUAUAUAUAUAUAUAUAUAUACUUUGACUGACCACAUUUUAACCCCAGUGUGUAACAUGCAAUAUAUAAAAUACACAAGGCAUCCUAGGUUCAAUAUUUUUGUUGUAAAAAUAAAAAUUCAAGUAUGAAUUCAGAGGUUUGACGCGCACGGUCUAUGGAUUUUUCCCCUCCUGAAAGGUCCACACACACCCCAGGCAAUCUAAUACUUGUGUUACCUAGACUCCCGAGCUGAGAAAAGCGCUCCCAAAGGGGGUGUUCAGCUUACAAGCCCGAGUUUCAUUACUCAGCAGUAUCUUUUUUCCCCACGGCAGCUAUUGACCCAAAUGUUUCUUUAGGACAGUUUUCAAAGCAAAAAAUAAAUAAAAAAAGAAGAAAGAGUUGUUGCUUAAUCCUUCAGCCAUGUGCUGCUGCUGUAGAGCCUGUACUUUGCAGUUUUGGUAAAAAAAAAAAAUCCAAAAAAAAAUCACGUGUUUGCAUUAUAAAUAGUAGUCACAAGCUGUUUAAAAAUGUAAUUACUGUGAGGUUGAGGGCGAAUAAAGAAGCCAUUGAAAAAACCAGUGAAAAAGAAGCCAGUGAAAAAGAAGCCAGUGAAAAAGAAGCCAUUGAAAAAGCUGCAUGAGGAGGUUUUUUUGGGGGGGGAUUAAACACCAAGUUGUUGUGCUCUAUAAAACUGCAGCAUGUCAUGGUUCUUUCUGCCUGCAAAAUCAGUUUUUUCUUUUUGGCAUUGGAAUAUUGUUGUUCCUGUUUUUGAUAGCACAUUAGCCUCCGACAUGUCUCUGUGGAAUACUUUCAUCUGAAUGUUCACUUUGGAUUAUUGUGUCCGUGAAUGGUUUGCUCCUCAUUCUCACACGAGUUCUAGGAAUGUGGCCGAACAAUGUGGUGUGUGGUUAAACCG
ensembl:lncRNA